UAAGGAAUAUUGGUCAAUGGGCGCAAGCCUGAACCAGCCAUGCCGCGUGAAGGAUGACGGCCCUACGGGUUGUAAACUUCUUUUGUACGGGAAAAAACCUCCGGUCGUGUAUCGGAGCUGAUGGUACCGUAAGAAUAAGGAUCGGCUAACUCCGUGCCAGCAGCCGCGGUAAUACGGAGGAUCCAAGCGUUAUCCGGAUUCAUUGGGUUUAAAGGGUGCGCAGGCGGAAUGAUAAGUCAGUGGUGAAAUCUCUCGGCUCAACUGAGAAACUGCCAUUGAUACUGUCGUUCUUGAGUACACUUGGAGUGGGCGGAAUGUGUCAUGUAGCGGUGAAAUGCUUAGAUAUGACACAGAACACCGAUCGCGAAGGCAGCUCACUAAGUUGUAACUGACGCUCAGG
rnacentral:rRNA from 1 species